rnacentral:rRNA from 1 species
AUUGAACGCUGGCGGCAGGCCUAACACAUGCAAGUCGAACGAGUGGCGGACGGGUGAGUAAUGUCUGGGAAACUGCCUGAUGGAGGGGGAUAACUACUGGAAACGGUAGCUAAUACCGCAUACCAUCGGAUGUGCCCAGAUGGGAUUAGCUAGUAGGUGGGGUAAAGGCUCACCUAGGAGACGAUCCCUAGCUGGUCUGAGAGGAUGACAAGCCACACUGGCACUGAGACACGGUCCCGACGCCUACGGUAGGCAGCAGUGGGGAAAAUUGCACAAUGGGCGAAAGCCUGAUGCAGCCAUGCCGAGUGUAUGAAGAAGGCCUUCGGGUUGUAAAGUACGUACAGCGGUGAGGCGUUACCCACAGAAGAAGCACCGGCUAACUCCGUGCCAGCAGCCGCGGUAAUAC